GGAUCCGAUAAUGACAUAUUGGAUGAUGAUGAGGAAGCGAGCAAGUCUACCGAUAAACUUAGCGACAUUGAUCCAUUUGACACUGUCUACUCAAACAUUCUAGACAGCACUCACGUCCUGAAGCUCGAUGAAAAUUGCAAACACUGUACGGCCAGGAAGUUUGAAUCUGAGACUGCCGGCUUCUGCUGUCGCAAUGGCCAGAUCCAGCUUAAGCAACCGGAACCAAUCCCAGAGCUUGUGAGGCUAUGGUCCAGCAUGGAUGCAGAUUCGAGACAUUUUCGGGAGAACAUACGGUUCUUCAACGGGCAUUUCGCCUUCACCACCCUUGGCGUCAGCCUUGAUGAAAACUACACAAACAUGAGGUCUGGGGUGUACACGUUCCGAGCUCAUGGCACCAUCUACCACAAUGUCCAUUCAUUCGGGCCUAGCUCGCGUCCAGAACAUCUGCAGUUCUACUUCUAUGACGACGACCCUAACCUAGAUCAUCGUAAGGCGGCCACCAAGCAAUUAGACCAAGAUGUCGUGAAGAGGUUAGUAGACAUACUCAAAUAA
rnacentral:rRNA from 1 species